UAAAAAAUAAUGAGGUGAACAGAAAUGAGGUGGCUCCCACUGGUUCACAGUGUUUUUACUCUCCAAAAGGAAAAGCAAAAGUAAAUCAGAUUACAAGCUUCUUUGAACUUUUACUGCGCUCCUGACAAUCUGUCUCUUUUGGUCAUCUCCGGUCGCGGCAGAGUGUUGUGGCCUCCCACCACCAGCAUAGUGAAACGGUACCAAGUCCCAGAUCCCUGGUUAAAGGACCUGAAGUUUCAACCCCUGAACCAGCUUAGAAGGCAAAUAGUUGUGUUCCAUGGAGAACCUCACUCUCAGUGACAACAGCAGGGGAGAAAAAAAGAAUUACUGGUCAUUUCUGGGAGAGGUGAAAUUUUAAACUCAAGGUCUCUCAGCAUGACUCAAUCUCUCAACAUGAAGCUCUAGCAGCCCUGGAAAAAUCUCUGCUUGACCAGUAUGAAACUCAAAGCUGGUGAUGCCACUGUAGGCUGCAGUCUGCCUGGCAUCCUCCACUGCCUGCCCCACCAACGAAAUCCCAAGGACCUGCGAUGUAGCUG